AACGGAGGAAAAGAAUCCAACUCGGAUUCCCUAGUAACGGCGAGUGAAGCGGGAAGAGCUCAAGUUGAAAAUCUGGGUGGGGCCUCCCCAUCCCGAAUUGUAGUCUAGAGACGCGUGCUCAGCCGUGCUCCAGGGCUAAGUCUGUUGGAAAACAGCAUCAUGGACGGUGAUAAUCCGGUUCUUGCCCUGGGUGUUGCGGUGUACGAGCCGUGAUCCACGAGUCGAGUUGCUUGGGAUUGCAGCUCUAAGCGGGUGGUAAAUUCCAUCUAAAGCUAAAUAUUGGUGGGAGACCGAUAGCAAACAAGUACCGUGAGGGAAAGAUGAAAAGAACUUUGAAAAGAGAGUUAAAAAGUACCUGAAAUUGCUGAAAGGGAAGCGAAUGAAGUCAGUGUCUGCUCCUGGUUGUAUUUUCGGAGUCCCUGCGGGGAUUCCGGCACUGUGGCCUGGAGCAUGUCAGGAUGAGUUCUCUGCCGUGGGAUAUGUUUGGUGGGAUUGGUACCUUCGGGGAAACCCGCCACUCUUGUCAUGGCUUGGACUGAGGUUCCAUCUCGCCGUUUGCCUGCCCGUCGCUCUCUGCCGGUUGUUGCUGUCCUACUGCUUGCAGUGCUCAGCUGCAGCUGACUGACUGUGCGGGUCAUGCAUGCGAGGUCAGGAUCCUGAGGACUGGCCGUAAUAACCCAA
rnacentral:rRNA from 1 species